rnacentral:rRNA from 1 species
UGGAGGCAGCAGUAAGGAAUAUUGCUCAAUGGCCGAAAGGCUGAAGCAGCAACGCCGCGUGAAGGAUGAAGGCCUUUUGGUUGUAAACUUCUGUAGAGAAAGAGAAAACCCCCACUCUGUGGGGAUUGAUAGUAUUUCUAAAGUAAGCCCCGGCUAACUACGUGCCAGCAGCCGCGGUAAUACGUAGGGGGCGAGCGUUGUCCGGAUUUACUGGGUGUAAAGGGUGCUCAGGUGGUCUUACAAGUCAGAGGUGAAAGCCCAGGGCUUAACUCUGGAACUGCCUUUGAUACUGUAAGGCUUGAGUAUGGAAGAGGUUGAUGGAAUUUCGGGUGUAGCAGUGAAAUGCGUAGAUAUCCGAAAGAACACCAGUGGCGAAGGCGGUCAACUGGUCCAUUACUGACACUAAAGCACGAAAGCGUGGGUAGCAAACAGGAUUAGAUACCCUGGUAGU